rnacentral:rRNA from 1 species
CACGCCCUAAACGAUGUACGCUGAGUUAGAGCGGCUCUGACGCCGUUCGGACUGUAGAGAAAUUGAUAAGCGUACCGCCUGGGGAGUACGGUCGCAAGGCUAAAACUCAAAGAAAUUGACGGGGGCUCACACAAGCGGUGGAGCAUGUGGCUCAAUUCGAAGCAACGCGCAGAACCUUACCUGGGUUUGACAUACAUGGAUUAGCUGGUGGAAACAUUAGUGAGGCCCGCAAGGGUACAACAUGAACAGGUGC